rnacentral:rRNA from 1 species
AUUGAACGCUGGCGGCAGGCUUAACACAUGCAAGUCGAGCGAGCGGCGGACGGGUGAGUAGUGUCUGGGAAACUGCCUGAUGGAGGGGGAUAACUACUGGAAACGUUAGCUAAUACCGCAUACGAUCAGAUGUGCCCAGAUGGGAUUAGCUAGUAGGUGGGGUAAUGGCUCACCUAGGCGACGAUCCUUAGCUGGUCUGAGAGGAUGACCGGCCACACUGGAACUGAGACACGGUCCAGACUCCGACGGGAGGCAGCAGUGGGGAAUAUUUGACAAUGGGCGAAAGCCUGAUGGAGCCAUGCCGCGUGUGUGAAGAAGGCCUUCGGGUUGUAAAACACUUUCAGCGAGGAGGCGUUACGCAAAUAGGAAGCACCGGCUAACUCCGUGCCAGCAGCCGCGGUAAUUC